rnacentral:rRNA from 1 species
UACGGAGGGUGCGAGCGUUAAUCGGAAUUACUGGGCGUAAAGCGUACGCAGGCGGCUAAGUAAGUCAGAUGUGAAAGCCCCGGGCUCAACCUGGGAACUGCAUUUGAAACUGCUUGGCUAGAGUGCGACAGAGGGUGGUAGAAUUUCAGGUGUAGCGGUGAAAUGCGUAGAGAUCUGAAGGAAUACCGAUGGCGAAGGCAGCCACCUGGGUCAACACUGACGCUCAUGUACGAAAGCGUGGGGAGCAAACAGG